rnacentral:rRNA from 1 species
CCCUUAGAUGUUCUGGGCCGCACGCGCGCUACACUGUUCGACGCAGCGAGUCUUAACCUUGACCGAAAGGUUUGGGUAAUCUUCAGCAAAGUCGAACGUGAUGGGGAUCGAUCAUUGCAAUUAUUGAUCGUGAACGAGGAAUUCCUAGUAAGUGCAAGUCAUCAGCUUGCGCUGAUUACGUCCCUGCCCUUUGUACACACCGCCCGUCGCUACUACCGAUUGAAUGGUUUAGUGAGAUCUCUGGAUUGACGCUGGCUAGGGGGCGACCCUUGGCCAGGCUGUCGAGAAACUGCCCAAACUUGAUCAUUUAGAGGAAGUAAAAGUCGUAACA